CCAAAGAGAAGGGUCUGUAGUACCAGUGACAAAUCUAAGAACUAUAGACACUCAAAACUCUCAUUUACUGCCCAAAGACAGUAAAUAUCCAAGCAUUUUUGCGCAAUAAAUCUGAAACUAUGACCAUAGAGAGUGAGAUUUGAAACUGUGACUAUAGAUAGAGGAAGAGACACUCUUUCUUGACCUGAUCCUGGACUCUCAUGCUUGCUGAUCCUGGUGUAGUCAAGGGUUGAGUUGCAUAACUUAUUCUUACUUCAUGAAAAAGACACCAUCAAAGGGUAUCAGGCAUGACAGGUUCCUCAUCUCCACUAGAAACAGUGAAGAUCAGAGUUAGUAGCCACAUGAGCAGGAACAACUAAGGCGAUUGCUACAUGUUAGACUGUAGGCUGCAGUGCAUCAUGGACUUGGUCAAUCUUAGUUGGGGUCUGGGUAAGAUUUGGUUCUUUCAUUGGCUAUAUGGUGCACACUGAUCAUGGCAAAGGGAGAGGCUCAAGUGGACUGAUGGAAGUUCAUUCGCCAUGCUUCUUAAAGCCCUUUUCUCAAUAGAUACGAGAUGCUGUCCCUUCCAGCUAUCGUCCUACAGCUCAAAGUCAAGGAUACAGAAUGCAGACUGCACGUUGUCACAGCACACUACUGAAUCAUGUGAAUCGCGUGGCCGAGACAUGAGUCUAGUAUGGGGAAAAAUGAGGCGCAGAGACAGUUAAGCAUCUACUUCAGAAGCAUGGCUGCCAUCCCCAGGCACAAACUCUUCAGUCUAUGCCAGAGGUGCUGGGCGCUGCGACUGUGGAACCUCUGAUCCCACAGCCUCCUACUGAUGGAGAGAUUAUCACCAUUUCUAAGAGACAACAUCGAACUGGGAGGCUGUGGCCGAUCUUCAAAUCCCCCAGGUGGCUGAGCAGAAGUAAGGUUCAUAGCUGGAGACCUGGAAGGCAGAAGUACCUAUGAAUGUUUCCAUCGGGUUAACCACAGCUACUCAGGUUGUUAAAAAGUCCUGAAUGAUCAGCUAACCCUGAAUGUGUGCCUCUAAUUCUUCUUGGUGACAGCGGUUAUCGCUGCUGUAAGGAAAAGCCCAGUGUGCUGAACCAAAGACCCCCCCCUGUCAACAUCCCAGUUUAACCUUUUCCUGGACUAGAGGGAACCUUAAUGCUUCUUGUUUUGUGUCUGACAUUGAUCUAAUGUUGCAUUUCUCAUACUAGGCUCUGGGGAGCAAUGAUAAUUUUCCACUUAAUAAAGCUUCCUCUCUUUUUUCCCUCUCAA